AUUGAACGCUGGCGGCAGGCCUAACACAUGCAAGUCGAGCGAGCGGCGGACGGGUGAGUAAUGUAUGGGGACUGCCCGAUAGAGGGGGAUAACUACUGGAAACGGUGGCUAAUACAGCAUACUGUCGGAUAACCCAUAUGGGAUUAGCUAGUAGGUAAGGUAAUGUCUUACCUAGGCGACGAUCCCUAGCUGGUCUGAGAGGAUGAUCAGCCAACCUGGGGCUGAGACAUGGCCCAUACGCCUACGGAGGCAGCAGUGGGGAAUAUUGCACAAGGGGCGCAAGCCUUAUGCAGCCAUGCCGCGUGUAUGAUGAAGGCCCUAGGGGUGUAAAGUACUUUCAGUCGUGAGGCGUUACCUACAGAAGAAGCACCGGCUAACUCCGUGCCAGCAGCCGCGGUAAUAC
rnacentral:rRNA from 1 species